UUAGCAGAGAAAGAACAGCAAGAGCGUAAGUAUAUGGGAUGGGUUAGCAGGAAAAGAUCAGAAAAGUAAAUUAGGCCAAAAUUACCUUGCCUGUCUGACUACAGAACUUGGACUUUAUAUAGGGAGUCAAUGAGAAAGACAAGCUUUGUACUGAAAACUGGCUCCAGAAGAAAUGUUAAGGUGACCUGGAAGUAAGUAGUCUCUGGGGAUGAAGGAAGAGGACAAUAAUGCUACAUUAGUAUAGGUAAGAAACAAUGAGAGUUCCAGCAAUGCAGUGAGGGGAAAUGGUUUCAAAAGACAUGGCCAAGGUACCUAAUGGUAGUAUUAGACCAUUAAGUUUCAAC